rnacentral:rRNA from 1 species
UUGAACGCUGGCGGCAGGCCUAACACAUGCAAGUCGAACGGUAACAGGAAGCAGCUUGCUGUUUCGCUGACGAGUGGCGGACGGGUGAGUAAUGUCUGGGAAACUGCCUGAUGGAGGGGGAUAACUACUGGAAACGGUAGCUAAUACCGCAUAACGUCGCAAGACCAAAGAGGGGGACCUUCGGGCCUCUUGCCAUCGGAUGUGCCCAGAUGGGAUUAGCUAGUAGGUGGGGUAACGGCUCACCUAGGCGACGAUCCCUAGCUGGUCUGAGAGGAUGACCAGCCACACUGGAACUGAGACACGGUCCAGACUCCUACGGGAGGCAGCAGUGGGGAAUAUUGCACAAUGGGCGCAAGCCUGAUGCAGCCAUGCCGCGUGUAUGAAGAAGGCCUUCGGGUUGUAAAGUACUUUCAGCGGGGAGGAAGGGAGUAAAGUUAAUACCUUUGCUCAUUGACGUUACCCGCAGAAGAAGCACCGGCUAACUCCGUGCCAGCAGCCGCGGUAAUACGGAGGGUGCAAGCGUUAAUCGGAAUUACUGGGCGUAAAGCGCACGCAGGCGGUUUGUUAAGUCAGAUGUGAAAUCCCCGGGCUCAACCUGGGAACUGCAUCUGAUACUGGCAAGCUUGAGUCUCGUAGAGGGGGGUAGAAUUCCAGGUGUAGCGGUGAAAUGCGUAGAGAUCUGGAGGAAUACCGGUGGCGAAGGCGGCCCCCUGGACGAAGACUGACGCUCAGGUGCGAAAGCGUGGGGAGCAAACAGGGUUAGAUACCCUGGUAGUCCACGCCGUAAACGAUGUCGACUUGGAGGUUGUGCCCUUGAGGCGUGGCUUCCGGAGCUAACGCGUUAAGUCGACCGCCUGGGGAGUACGGCCGCAAGGUUAAAACUCAAAUGAAUUGACGGGGGCCCGCACAAGCGGUGGAGCAUGUGGUUUAAUUCGAUGCAACGCGAAGAACCUUACCUGGUCUUGACAUCCACGGAAGUUUUCAGAGAUGAGAAUGUGCCUUCGGGAACCGUGAGACAGGUGCUGCAUGGCUGUCGUCAGCUCGUGUUGUGAAAUGUUGGGUUAAGUCCCGCAACGAGCGCAACCCUUAUCCUUUGUUGCCAGCGGUCCGGCCGGGAACUCAAAGGAGACUGCCAGUGAUAAACUGGAGGAAGGUGAGGAUGACGUCAAGUCAUCAUGGCCCUUACGACCAGGGCUACACACGUGCUACAAUGGCGCAUACAAAGAGAAGCGACCUCGCGAGAGCAAGCGGACCUCAUAAAGUGCGUCGUAGUCCGGAUUGGAGUCUGCAACUCGACUCCAUGAAGUCGGAAUCGCUAGUAAUCGUGGAUCAGAAUGCCACGGUGAAUACGUUCCCGGGCCUUGUACACACCGCCCGUCACACCAUGGGAGUGGGUUGCAAAAGAAGUAGGUAGCUUAACCUUCGGGAGGGCGCUUACCACUUUGUGAUUCAUGACUGGGGUG